GGGGAUGUAGCUCAGUGUAGAGUGCUUGCCUAGCAUGCAGGAGGCCCUAGGUUAAAUCCCCAGCAACCCCC
rnacentral:tRNA from 1 species